UACGUAGGGUGCGAGCGUUGUCCGGAAUUACUGGGCGUAAAGAGCUCGUAAGUGGUUUGUCGCGUUGUCCGUGAAAACUCACAACUCAAUUGUGGGCGUGCGGGCGAUACGGGCAGACUGGAGUACUGCAGGGGAGACUGGAAUUCCUGGUGUAGCGGUGGAAUGCGCAGAUAUCAGGAGGAACACCGGUGGCGAAGGCGGGUCUCUGGGCAGUAACUGACGCUGAGGAGCGAAAGCGUGGGGAGCGAACAGG
rnacentral:rRNA from 1 species